AGUGAACGCUGGCGGUAGGCCUAACACAUGCAAGUCGAACGGCAGCACAGUAAGAGCUUGCUCUUACGGGUGGCGAGUGGCGGAGGGGUGAGGAAUACAUCGGAAUCUACUUUUUCGUGGGGGAUAACGUAGGGAAACUUACGCUAAUAACGCAUACGACCUACGGGUGAAAGCAGGGGAUCUUCGGACCUUGCGCGAUUGAAUGAGCCGAUGUCGGAUUAGCUAGUUGGCGGGGUAAAGGCCCACCAAGGCGACGAUCCGUAGCUGGUCUGAGAGGAUGAUCGGCCACACUGGAACUGAGACACGGUCCAGACUACUACGGGAGGCAGCAGUGGGGAAUAUUGGACAAUGGGCGCAAGCCUUAUCCAGCCAUACCGCGUGGGUGAAGAAGGCCUUCGGGUUGUAAAGCCCUUUUGUUGGGAAAGAAAAGCAGCAGGUUAAUACCCCGCUGUUCUGACGGUACCCAAAGAAUAAGCACCGGCUAACUUCGUG
rnacentral:rRNA from 1 species